CACGUAGGGGCCAAGCGUUGUCCGGAUUUAUUGGGCGUAAAGAGCUCGUAGGCGGCUCGGUAAGUCAGGUGUGAAACCUCCAGGCUCAACCUGGAGACGCCACCUGAUACUGCUGUGGCUAGAGUCCGGUAGGGGGAGCGUGGAAUUCCUGGUGUAGCGGUGAAAUGCGCAGAUAUCAGGAGGAACACCGGUGGCGAAGGCGGGUCUCUGGGCCGAUACUGACGCUGAGGAGCGAAAGCGUGGGGAGCGAACAGG
rnacentral:rRNA from 1 species